GUGGAUGCCUUGGCAGUCAGAGGCGAUGAAAGACGUGAUAGCCUGCGAAAAGCUCCGGGGAGGCGGCAAAUAUCCUUUGAUCCGGAGAUGUCUGAAUGGGGGAACCCACCUACUUUAAGGUAGGUAUUGCAACAUGAAUACAUAGUGUUGCAAGGCGAACGAGGGGAAGUGAAACAUCUCAGUACCCUUAGGAAAAGAAAUCAAUUGAGAUUCCCUCAGUAGCGGCGAGCGAACGGGGAUCAGCCCAUUAAGUUA
rnacentral:rRNA from 1 species